AGGUGGACAGUAACGAAGUAAAUUUGCCUGAGUACUGUACUUAAGUACACUUUUUGAGUAUCUGUACUUUACUUGAGUAUUAUUUUUUCUGAGUACUUGUACUUUAACUUGACUACAUUUGAAAGACAAAUAUCAUACUUUUUACUCCACUACAUUUAUAAAAAGGUCCAAAAGUAGAAAAUGGUUUCUAUGCAGCGGGGUUUCCUGUGUGCACAAUUUAUCUGGCUUGCGAUCUGCCAGGACCUUUUACUGUUGCCAAGUAUUUCAGUUUUUCUAAGAUCGCGGUUUUCCGGCAAGCUUUGAAUGGCCAUUUGGCAGAUUUUUUAACGCAAAUCUGGCAACUCUGGGAUCUUCCCCGCUAAACUAAUGUAAACGUAGGCGCUGCUACACCGUUGAUAGCGCUCUAAAAAGGCAAAUAGAACAAUAAAAGACGAAAAGGGCACAUGUUAAAGUGUGGUGUAAUCAUCUGUGGGUUACGAUCAGUCAAAGAUCGUAGAAACAUUGUCAUGAAAAUGAUCGGCAUAACGGCUAAACGGUAAAUAAGCAUCACAUACACCUUGAGCUACACGUGCGUGUUAACUUCUGAUCUGCUGCUAUAUCAUUUAAAGCGAUUUGGAAAAUGAAUGAUGUUUUUACUGAAGUAACUAUAGUUGAAGUAUUCCUGUUGAAAUAAAAACAAUAGAACCCUGCCCAAAAUACAACAUAAAAUGUAAUGGAUUUAAUGGUUAUAAUGGGAAUUGUACUAUGGAUACUUGUUGUCUACUUGUAUGUGAUGGAUUCUAUUGAUGGGAUGGUAAAUCCUAUUGGAAUAAAACCCAAAACACACUACAAAGAGGAAUUUAAUUUAAAAAUCUCAUUCUAAUUAAAAAAUUCAUUGUUUUUUUUCAGCAGGGAUGGUAUUUGCAUUAAAACCACAGUAUCCACAAAUUUACCAUUUUCUAAAUAUAGGAACCAUACUCCAAUUAAUAAUCUUUAGUAAAACCACAGCAACUAAACAUACCAUAGUUUCAUUAUAUUCAUUAUUAUACUAGCUAUAGUUUAUGUUUGUAGUUAAAUUAUGGUAAUAAGUCCAACAAACACAUGGCUUCUACACUUUACUAUUUACAAGAACCUUACUACUUACUGGUAAAUUGCUGCUAAAACUGGUAAAGGGAAUAUACAAAAUAAAAGAACACUGCUCAUAAAUACAUAUAGGCCUAGGGGGCUAAUGAGGAUAAUUAGGCUAAAUGAUCAUACAGGAUUAUAUCUAAACUAAACAUAUGUGUGCUAAACAUAUAAAGCUCUUAAAGGAGUUGCUCACUGCAAAAUUUGCCCCCAUUGACUUUCCAUAGUAGGAAUAAAAACUACUAUGGAAAGUCAAUGGGGGCAAAUUUUGAAGUGAACUACUCCUUUAAUACCACUGAUUCUGUGAGCUACUCGGUGUAUUCAGUAGGGUGCUUCAGAGGCAUAAGGUAUACGACAAUAAAACAAUGCACAACUGACAUAAAGGAAAUUUACUUUUAAUACUUGAGUACUUUUAAAAGCACGUACUUCUGUACUUUUACUCAAGUAAGAAUCUGUCUUUACAACUUUUACUUGUAGUGGAGUAAUAUUUGACCAGUAGUAUCUGUACUUUCACUCAAGUAAGGAAGUUGUGUACUUCGUCCACCUCUGAUCUCAAGGCAAACAUGUAACUAUUUUACGAAGUGGCUAAUUUUGGCUAAUUCGUAUGAAUUACGAUCUCAUUCGUACAUUUUAGUAUGAUUUGCUUUCUUGCCAGUGGUGUUAGAUUUAGGGGGCGGGGUUAGGCUUCAGCAUAGCUUUUUUUCUAGUAAUGGUACGAUUUUGUACGAUUCACAAUAUACAAAUUCAUACAUAUUAUCCACCUCGUAAAAUAGUUACGAAUUCCCAUGAGAUUAAGUUGUAUACACUUGUUAAUACCAGGUGCAAAUGACAAUUUGUCUUAACCAGCUACUUGUGCUCAUCUGAGACGGAUGUCAGUACCAGGUGGAAAGGCAAACAGAAGACCUGAAUGUUUGGCAGCAGGGAGAGGUCAGCAGCUUUGUCCUGCACUGUUUUGUCAGAUCACCUCUACAGUUUUUGAAGUGCAUCAAAAAAAACCACCCAGCUCCCUACAUCACCUGCCAGGAAGUGACACGUUUUGGAGGAUCUCAGAUAUGCCAACCCAAACUACACAGACCGUCUCUGCGAUCAAGAACUACCAGAACUGCAGUAUUUUUGGAGAAACCAUGACAAGCAAAAGUCAAGCCUCAAAAAGAGCAGACGUACAAACCCAGGCUUUCGAAAACAACCCAUUCUCCAUCUACUCUACAGUAUGACCCCGAACACCCCGCGGGCUGCCUCUGCAUCUCUAUGACAACCGAUUCCAAAAACCUUAUUACUGCAAAUGAGGAAAACAAAACAUGUGAGCAAUGAGACUAAUUCAUCAGAAUCACUCUUAUAGCGCACAUGCGUUUGCCGUCUGAUUCUGCCUGCUAUUAGGUGUCUGGACAGGUUUUAAAUUGGAUUCGGAGGAAGCCACUAACCCCACAGCUCCCCCAUCCCCCAUCCAAAUCAAAGCCCGACAGUGUGCUCAAGCUUUUAUAAUCCCCUUUACUUCACAUGCCCACAAAAAUCACUGCAACCGAGCGCACACGUCCACAGGAUGCUAAAUAACAAGCCAAGUUUAGCUUUAAUCGCAUAACCGUCUAUAAACCCCGUACGCCAUAGGUUGAUUGCGAACGGAGAACGCAGCUGUCAUGAUAACAAUAAAGUGCAUUGUGCAUGCCCAAGUGUGCGCAUUAAUAAGUGUGGAAAUUUGAAGCGAACCGAGGGAGAGGGGGCAAGGCAGUCUUGCAGUCGCUCAUUUUGCUCACUAUCUCGCUCUUUGUUUGUACCGUCGGCUUCCAGAGUCAAUGACAUAUUGUCACGUUAUCCCGGCGCAGCGACGGCCGACAGGCAUGUGCAUGAGGGUCGCUGCUUUUAUAGGCCGCAUGAAAGAAGACACAUUCUUGGGGCCUCCAGCAACCGGGCCUCUGCAAACAAACACCGACAGCGUUCACAGAUCGCCAUGGAAACCACGGUGACACCCACAGUGUCGGGAAGUAAAAGUCUCAUUUGUUCCGUCUAAAGAGAUAUAGAUUCUAGUUACAACAAUGAGUUAUGAGGUUGGUGUAUGAGGGCUAUACUUCUGUAGAAGUCACCCGUCAGGGUGAUUUCAAUGCCUUUUUUUAUAACUGUAACGUUAGUCGGUUGUGUAAUUCCUGGUGAAAUAUUACCCACAAUCCCAAAGGAAGACUCACCUAACAGAGUAGGUGUUGUUACAAUAGAAAUGGGAAUCAUGGGAGGCUGACUCAACAGUGACUGUUAACUCCCGUAAAGCAAAGUGAAUGAUGUCAUGGUCUCUCUGUCUCUAAUGGUUUGGUCAGAAAUCGUAUCGCUCUUAGAUCGCUUUACUUGAAAUGCCUGGGUGAUUCUCAAGAAAUGUUGGUUUCAAGAUAAAAAACACUUAAAAACACUCGCAUCAACAAAUUUCUCAAUUUUUGUUCAAAAGCAUUCAUUUAAAAACAUUUACUGACAGUUUAGCACAAUUUUUACCAUAUAAAUCCCAUAACGUGUUUGGCUAAAAAAAUGUAAAGCCAUGAUGCCUAAACACGUUUUUAUUAAUCAUACAUCAUAAGACUUUAAUGAAGUAUAUUUUAAUAGAAAAUUGCAUGUGUACCGUUUUUUUUUAUGCGGAAAACUACCUGUAUCGGUGAGGAGAAUAAAAAAAGUUGUGUACACAGAGUGCCAAAAGAAUAUUAAGCUUUCAAGUAGAAAAAUAUAUAGUAAUCUGUUAACCUGGUAGCUAUUUGAAAGGUACUGGCAGAUGUGUUUCUUCAAAUUAAAUCAAACCUAAUGUAAAUGUCUUUGUGUGUGUGUGUGUGUGUGUGUGUAAACAUUCCUUUAAAAAUGUUACAGAGGAUGAGAACAUCAGUCAUGGACACUUCUUUCUUCCACUAUAUCUUCAUUUUUAUUAUACAUGAAUAUUCUGUCAAUUAUUAUUUUUUUGUCAUUUGAGUACAUCUAGAACAUCCAAUUGUUUUCUUUCAGAUGUUUUAAUAAAUUACAACAAUAAUGCACUCUGACCAAUCAGGGUGCGUUACGGUAAUGAGAAUUUCAGCAGAAAAAGCAAGAAAACAAAUAAUUCAUUCCUAUGCUAAAAGUAUGCUUUGUCCAAGGUAAAGAACACAAUUAUGCUUAUUUUUAUAAUUAUGUUAUUUUUUGUGUUACAGAAUUAUAUGUUUUAUAAUUAAAAUCUUUACUGUCAUGUUUUAGUGGUUUCGUGCAGAGUGACGAACCUAUUGAAUAAAUGGCAAAUCACUUCUGAAAUACUGUGGGUAUUCAGUGAAGUGCUCGACAAAACCCACUUUUUAAUAUCAUUAUUUAAGGGUGAUGAUUAAAAAUGUAUAAAAACAGUUUUUUAUCAUGUUAUUAAAGAAUGAGGUAAAAGUUUGGGGCAGACUUCUUUUACUGUAUACCAUUUAAAUACAAACAGACUUGUGUGAGGGAAUUUUAUUCUAAAACAAGAUGCAGGAAUAUGAAUAUAUACUAAAUACGAAUAUGAAAGAAUUUUUUACCUUUUAAAAUACAUAAAGCCCUUUAUUUUACUGAUCAAACAUUCACGUGAUUAACAACCUUUCAACUUACCAACGUAAGCGACUGCUCUCAUCUCACACGUUGGCAUUUUUAAAACACCAUAAAAACAGUAUCAGACUUAGUCACUUGUUAUUACUCACAGUUACAGAAGUACAGGAAACUCUAUAUCUUCAGCUUAACAAUGGCCAGAGCCUUAGAAAGACACAAGCAGGAACUCUUUGUGCCAUGUAAGCACAGCAGCAGUCAAAAGACAACAUUUGUAUUUCUAUAUAUUUUACUAGUGUUGGUAUAUAGAUGAAUACAUCCAUGUACAUCUGUGCAACUGCUUCCCAUUUUAAAACACGCAGAUGUGCAGAUACAAUCCGUCAAUCGCUAUUCAUUCUGAGCACGGAAGGUGGCGUCUAAAGAGCUACAGAAUCUUCUUCAGACAAACUAAAUGUCUCUAUGAUAAAUAAAAGAUAUUUAAUUGCAGAGAUUCAGUCUAACGAUAGCUAGGCUAGCCUACAGCUUUUUUGACACUUUUAAGGUGAAGUACAUUCAAAAUCUGGUUUCUGUGGGGUAGCGUGAGGGGCGUGUGUGAAUUUCACAGCUAAAUGCUGGAUGGAGUUGAUUUAUUUCUGCAGUUGUAAGUAGAAGCCUCUGUGACUCAAAACAACCUACGUACAUUCAGAGCAAAAACAAAAGGUCAGGCAUCCUUGCACUUAUGUGUGAAAUGUGCGAGCUGCAAGCACAGUGAUAAUUUACAGUUCGCUUAUAAAUGGAACAAACCUCGCAUGUUCUUCACAGUAUUCAUUCAUAACCACAGAUUAAAAAUGUCAAUAAUUUUUUAAUGAAUGGUGCGUGAUUUACUAAACCGCAUGCGAGUAUAGUUCAGAAGAGCUCCCGUAUAAACUCAUGCUACAUAAUGCAGGUCUAUAGCACUCAGUUAAACUAAAUCCUGUUGUGUGUCAUUUCAAUGGCUUGAUAUACAGCCACAGAAUUUUGGGGGGGUUACCUGUUUUUCCAGUUUUCAUUUUCUGCAAAUAGAAACAACAUUUUAUUUGAUGUUUGGGAGAAAUAUUGUUAGCUACCUACAAAUAGUAAAUUCAAAAAAACUUAACAACAUUUUUAAAUGGUUUCUUAAUUUAUCCCACUACUGGUGACGCUCACUGCAGGAGCUGAGAGAAGAAUCACAUUAGCUCCCAUCUUCUCUCCUAUUAGCUGUCGCUCUCAAAAGUCGCUUCUCAUUUGCAUAAAGUUAAACAUUUCUCAACUUUGUCGUGUCUCUAGACACGCCCCAUCCGGUCGCCAACAGUUGCUACUGCUCGUGUCGCCGGAAGUCGCCAGGUUUCCAUUGAAAUGAAUGGGAUCAUGUCGCUUGUCCGGGAGAAGUGAAUGUUUUGUAUGGGCAAGUGAGAGAGAAUUUUACUUGCUUGACCGGACAAGUAACUUGAAAAACAACAACACCCAGGGCUGUACAGUGCGACAUAUACAGUAUGUAGAAUAAUAAGAAUAAGUGCAUUAGACGGAGAUGCGCGUUUGUGUGAAUUGCGUUUGUUUCCAUCCAAAUUUAGCUUAUCCGCAAAAUUGGAAUAUCGCAUAAAACAUUUUCGAAUAAGCACCGUUUCCAUCCAAAUAGUCAACCGUCACUUCCUAAUAAACUGCCACUAAAUAUCAGUAAGAAAAGUAAGAGAAGCCACUGAAUAUAAUGAUUUUCAUAUAGAAUAAUACUUGCGCAAGCAGACGAUUACGAAACACAAUAAAUGCGGUGCUUUUGUGGAUGGCUGCUGUUCGAGAAACACAGUUGUAACAGUUCUAAGAGGCAAUUACAGAAAUACUUGACGACUUUGCUCAGGCAUUUAAGAAUGACCAUAACAACAUUUCCGAUGCUGUGUAACAAGAUCAGUACGCUGGUUAGUCAGGUUACACCAUCUCAUUGUGCAAUUACGUGACUUUUUGGAGGAAUUUAUUCGGCAAAUGCGUUUCCAUUUCCCAUUAUUCGCAUUAACCCUUUUUCCCAUAAAUGAAAAACCACCUUAAGCGAGCGUAAAAACUUUUUGCAAAUUAAGGGUUUUUAAUUCGAAAUUUGGCGUUUCCAACCCGCUUAUUGUUGUGCUUGUUUGUGUGUGACAAUAAUCAAAUGGCACAACGCAUUAAGUCCAUAUAACUAGAUGCGGACGCGGAAUCCUGUUAUUUAAAGCGACAACGAGCAACUUUUUGACCUUAAAAUAAUGUCUCUAAAAUUAUUUUAGUGGUAGGUCAACUUUUAACUGGAUGAAUUUUACUGCCGUUGCUACCUGAGCAGCCUCCUAUCGGCUGAAACUGCACUUGUAACUUUGGUGUUCGGGCCGGUACAAGCCCCGCCUAUCCCCUGCUUUAUGGCAUAUUUCACGUUUUACUCGUAGCCUGGGAGAAGUUAGCCAACAGCAGAGCUAACAGUAAGACGAAACGAACCAAAACAUCACCAUGGCAAAGCCAGCCAAAAAACCAAAAAGGGGGUUUUGUCGGAGGAAGCAAAGAAAAUAAAGCGAGAGAGUGAUCGGACACGAGGCCGGUCACGAUUCAAUAUCGGACGGGCUUACACUUGGUGGUGCGAGCAGCAAGAGGCAACGGGUUGCAAAACGGAUGCAGACCAAGCGGUCCGGCUCCUGGACUUAUAAGUGUUAUUUGUACAUUUUUUGCUACUGUCCUGUACUUUUGAACGUAUUUGUUAUUAGUCUGUGUCAUUGGCGCAACACCGGUUCGCACUUUAUAAGCGUAAGGUAGCUGAGAGAUAAUAUAUGGUUGCCGGUGUCGAUAGCUAGCAUGUUGUCGUGUCUCGUCAUGAAUGUGUGUAGUGCUUGUAAAUAAAGACUGAACAACCACACUAAACGUGUUGUGGUAAAAAGUAGCAGAUUAUUUUGUUCAGACCAGUAAACCACGUGAAUGUUGGACAGUUCAGUCGUUGAUUAGGCUAAUGUUGUCGUUAUAUAUAUGUACAUGCUAUGCACUGUUUUCAUACCGAGUUGACUGUAGUUAUUACAUAUAUUACACAAAACACAACUCCUGGUCGCGAACUUAUGACAAUGUAUGCUGUAUAAGCUACUAUGGACAUUGUUGCGUGAUACAUGAUUUUGUGGACAAUAUUUCAUUAUAUUACACAAAUGACACCCUUUGCAAACAAUGCUAAGUUACAUACACGAGACCAACUAUGCAAGCAAAAACAACUAGGCUUACUUACCGUUCUUUGUUGACAUUACAGUUUAUAAUUAUGGAGAAACGAUACAUAAAUCUUUGUACUGAUAUACAAAGAGCAUAUGGUAACAUGGACUACUUUACCUGAUCGGUGGACAUAGUUUGAAUGACGUAUCUGGGUCCGUCGGCUUAGUAAACAAACUCACUGCCAGCGGGAACAAGAUCAAGAUUUUUCUCGAAAUUUAACGAGUUUUUUCUCGAAACACAAUGACUUUAUUCUCAAAGUAUAGUGAGAAUAAUCUUCCGUAGUUUUGUACCUUAGCCGGGGAAAUUCUUGUAUUCUGCAUAUUUAUUUAAAUUGCAAGAUUGAGCGCUUCACUCGUCUGCUCUUUCGGUCCUUCGCCUCUUACCCGUAACCCGCGAAUUACGUCUUUGGGGGCGGGGCACUGAUAGAUAAGCGAAUGGUUGAAGGAGGGGAGAUGAAAAUGAGUGACUGAAUGCGCAGCUUGCGCAAUAUAACAUUUCUGCGCAUUAAAUUUAUAAUACGCAAAAAUUAUAUAUUGAUCAGUUUGACAGUCGCACCGGUGCGGCCAUUAAGAAAAACUUACUAAACGCACUGGCAGGAAAAUUUGUCGCAAAAUGAGACCAUUUAGUCGCAGUCUAGCGUGUCAGAGCAUUGGUUAUGAUUUUCGGACGGAUCAGGCCUUAACUUAACAUUCUUAAUGAAAAAGUUGCCAAUCGUUCUUUUCAUCUUCUCUCAUCAUCCGCGGCUACAUCCACUCUGUUUAUCUGACAGGCCUAUGCUACUCACCUCUCUGUCCGACUGCAGCACAGCAUUUUCAAACGUACACACACAUACAGGAAUAUCUGGACAACGGCCAAUCAAAGGGGGGUCCGCCCUUCACUAUCUCUGAUUGGUUUAGACCACGAUAUGGGCCUAAUGUGUCUGUUGUUGAACCACAGGGAAACUUUCGCAGAGACUUUUUUCCCUCGAACGGCUGGUCGUACGGUGCGACCUCAAAUUUUUUUAGUCGCACCAUUGAGAAAUUAGGUUGCAUGUGCGACCAAAUUGGUCGCACUCUAGAGCCCUGCAGAGGUACAGUGUCUUUAUUUUAGAUACUCCCUGCUUGAUUACACAAUAUGUUAAACUUGCACAGUUAUCUUAUCCUAAUCCUGGGUUCACAUCAAACGCGAAAAAUCGCAUUCCUCGCUCUUUAUUACUCACAGGAAAAGUUUGUUAUUUUCGUGUGAGUGACCCAAGCUGCCAAAUAUUUUCAAUUUGUGCGGAAGACGAGUUUGACGCGUGUUCGUGGCAAUUGCGCCGCCCGAUUCGCGUGAUUCGCAUUGCCUGCCGCGAGUUCGCGUCUUUGUAUGCAAUUUACAAAUCGCUUAAUGCGCGUUUGGUGUGAACCCGGCAUAAGAAAGAACUGAAGAAAUCUGAUUAUUUUAUCCGGAGCAUUAAACAUAAAAAACAGAACUGCACACAGCAAUGUAAAGCAAUGCAGCAUGAUACCGUACAAACCACUCCAACGCAAUCUUGUCAUGCCUUCAUCUGCAGUGGUUUUGUCCAGCUGAAUAACUAUCACAAAGAACGUUUCCAGAAACAU